GCCUUGCUAGCUCAAUCGGUAGAGCGUGAGACUCUUAAUCUCAAGGUUGUGGGCUCGACCCCCGCGUGAGGCU
rnacentral:tRNA from 1 species